GAUGAACGCUGGCGGCGUGCCUAAUACAUGCCAGUCGAGCGAACAGACGAGGAGCUUGCUCCUCUGACGUUAGCGGCGGACGGGUGAGUAACACGUGGAUAACCUACCUAUAAGACUGGGAUAACUUCGGGAAACCGGAGCUAAUACCGGAUAAUAUAUUGAACUGCAUGGUUCAAUAGUGAAAGACGGUUUUGCUGUAACUUAUAGAUGGAUCCGCGCCGCAUUAGCUAGUUGGUAAGGUAACGGCUUACCAAGGCAACGAUGCGUAGCCGACCUGAGAGGGUGAUCGGCAACACUGGAACUGAGACACGGUCCAGACUCCUACGGGAGGCAGAAGUAGGGAAUCUUCCGCAAUGGGCGAAAGCCUGACGGAGCAACGCCGCGUGAGUGAUGAAGGUCUUCGGAUCGUAAAACUCUGUUAUUAGGGAAGAACAAAUGUGUAAGUAACUAUGCACGUCUUGACGGUACCUAAUCAGAAAGCCACGGCUAACUACGUG
rnacentral:rRNA from 1 species